rnacentral:rRNA from 1 species
GCAAGGAAUCUUGGGCAAUGGGCGAAAGCCUGACCCAGCGACGCCGCGUGAGGGAUGAAGGCCUUCGGGUCGUAAACCUCUUUUAUGGGGGAAGAAGUUCUGACGGUACCCCAUGAAUAAGCCACGGCUAACUACGUGCCAGCAGCCGCGGUAAUACGUAGGUGGCAAGCGUUGUCCGGAUUUACUGGGCGUAAAGGGCUUGUAGGCGGUUCGUUAAGUCUGGUGUGAAAUCUCCCGGCUCAACUGGGAGGGGUCAUCGGAUACUGGCGGACUUGAGGUAGGUAGAGGAAAGCAGAAUUCCUGGUGUAGCGGUGAAAUGCGUAGAUAUCAGGAGGAAUACCAGUGGCGAAGGCGGCUUUCUGGGCCUAUCCUGACGCUGAGGAGCGAAAGCGUGGGGAGCAAACCGGAUUAGAAACCCCAGUAGUCC